AAUAACCGCAGGGGGAGCUUUGUGCUGAGAGUGAACACUUGUUGUUCUGACCCUUUGAACCUGUCAGUUAAUACUGAAGUAGGAAUGUGGAUUCAUUUGAAU
rnacentral:ncRNA from 2 species